UACGGGGGGAGCAAGCGUUGUUCGGAUUUACUGGGCGUAAAGGGCGCGUAGGCGGCCACCGCAAGUCGACUGUGAAAUCUCCGGGCUUAACCCGGAAAGGUCAGCCGAUACUGCGGGGCUAGAGUGCAGAAGGGGCAACUGGAAUUCUCGGUGUAGCGGUGAAAUGCGUAGAUAUCGAGAGGAACACCUGCGGCGAAGGCGGGUUGCUGGGCUGACACUGACGCUGAUGCGCGAAAGCCAGGGGAGCAAACAGG
rnacentral:rRNA from 1 species